rnacentral:rRNA from 1 species
UUUUAGUGACUUAGUGGCGGACGGGGGAGUAACGCGUGGGUAACCUGCCUCACACAGGGGGAUAACAGUUGGAAACGACCGCUAAUACCGCAUAACCCGCUAGGGCCGCAUGGCCCGGACGGAAAAGAUUUAUCGGUGUGAGAUGGACCCGCGUUGGAUUAGCUAGUUGGCAGGGUAACGGCCUACCAAGGCGACGAUCCAUAGCCGGCCUGAGAGGGUGAACGGCCACAUUGGGACUGAGACACGGCCCAA